rnacentral:rRNA from 1 species
GACGAACGCUGGCGGCGUGCUUAACACAUGCAAGUCGAACGAGAGGACAAGAGAAGCUUGCUUCUUUUGGAAUCGAGUGGCAAACGGGUGAGUAACACGUAAACAACCUGCCUUCAGGAUGGGGACAACAGACGGAAACGACUGCUAAUACCGAAUACGCUUGGGAGACCGCAUGAUCUUCCAAGGAAAGGGUGGCCUCUACUUGUAAGCUAUCGCCUGAAGAGGGGUUUGCGUCUGAUUAGGCAGUUGGUGAGGUAACGGCCCACCAAACCUACGAUCAGUAGCCGGUCUGAGAGGAUGAACGGCCACACUGGAACUGAGACACGGUCCAGACUCCUACGGGAGGCAGCAGUGGGGAAUCUUCCGCAAUGGGCGAAAGCCUGACGGAGCAACGCCGCGUGAGUGAUGACGGCCUCGGGUUGUAAAGCGUCUGUGAUCGGGGACGAACGGUCCGUAAGCGUAAUACCUUAUGGAAGUGA